rnacentral:rRNA from 1 species
UACGUGGGGUGCAAGCGUUGUCCGGAAUUAUUGGGCGUAAAGAGCUCGUAGGCGGUUUGUCGCGUCGAAUGUGAAAACCCGGGGCUCAACCCCGGGCCUGCAUUCGAUACGGGCAGACUAGAGUUCGGUAGGGGAGUCUGGAAUUCCUGGUGUAGCGGUGAAAUGCGCAGAUAUCAGGAGGAACACCGGUGGCGAAGGCGGGACUCUGGGCCGAUACUGACGCUGAGGAGCGAAAGCGUGGGGAGCAAACAGG